GUAAUGCCGGAGCCUGAUCUGUACCAAGGACAAAAUAUGGAGGAUCAAUAUGCGAAGACUAAAGGGCAGCCACACUGUGAAUCUCCGCUCCUAUUUCAGAAUUAUUUUAAUUAUCCAAGGCUGGAUCCCCCAUCACAAAGCUCAGGCAGUACAUAUCACUGCAAGCUGGCAAUUGCCCCUUGAAAGAGAGGACUUCUUGAUUCAAAAGACUUUCUGUCCAUCCUUGCGUCUGACUGACAAUACACAGCAAAUCUGUUGUGCUGGA